UUUACAUAAUGAUGGCAGAGUUGCAACGGUUCCGUGUGAAUUCCCUGCUACUUGAAACCAAAGAAGAUGGCCGCUGCUGCUGGAGAACAGCGGCCUUUUGAAUCGGCUUUAGCCCGCGGCUCUGGAAGACUUGGAG